rnacentral:tRNA from 1 species
GCCCAGGUGCUGGAACUGGCAGACAGGCUAGCUUGAGGGGCUAGUGCCCCUUCGUGGGCGUGUGGGUUCGAAUCCCACCCUGGGCA